UUUAGGUACAGACAAUAGUGUACUGUUAAACAUUUAGCAACGGAUAGGAUUAUUAAGCGUAAUGUUAAGUGCGCCCGUCUAAAUGGAAGCCAUACCUUAAGGUGUGGCUUUUUUUAUUAGU
rnacentral:ncRNA from 1 species